UACGGGGGGGGCAAGCGUUGUUCGGAAUUACUGGGCGUAAAGGGCUCGUAGGCGGCCAACUAAGUCAGACGUGAAAUCCCCAGCUCAACCUGGGAACUGCGUCUGAUACUGGAUGGCUUGAAUCCGGGAGAGGGAUGCAGAAUUCCAGGUGUAGCGGUGAAAUGCGUAGAUAUCAGGAGGAACACCGGUGGCGAAGGCGGCUACCUGGACAGAAACUGACGCUGGAGGCGCGAAAGCUAGGGGAGCAAACAGG
rnacentral:rRNA from 1 species